rnacentral:rRNA from 1 species
UGCAGUCGACGAUGAACCACUUCGGUGGGGAUUAGUGGCGAACGGGUGAGUAACACGUGGGCAAUCUGCCCUGCACUCUGGGACAAGCCCUGGAAACGGGGUCUAAUACCGGAUACUGACCCGCUUGGGCAUCCAAGCGGUUCGAAAGCUCCGGCGGUGCAGGAUGAGCCCGCGGCCUAUCAGCUUGUUGGUGAGGUAAUGGCUCACCAAGGCGACGACGGGUAGCCGGCCUGAGAGGGCGACCGGCCACACUGGGACUGAGACACGGCCCAGACUCCUACGGGAGGCAGCAGUGGGGAAUAUUGCACAAUGGGCGAAAGCCUGAUGCAGCGACGCCGCGUGAGGGAUGACGGCCUUCGGGUUGUAAACCUCUUUCAGCAGGGAAGAAGCGAAAGUGACGGUACCUGCAGAAGAAGCGCCGGCUAACUACGUGCCAGCAGCCGCGGUAAUACGUAGGGCGCGAGCGUUGUCCGGAAUUAUUGGGCGUAAAGAGCUCGUAGGCGGCUUGUCACGUCGGUUGUGAAAGCCCGGGGCUUAACCCCGGGUCUGCAGUCGAUACGGGCAGGCUAGAGUUCGGUAGGGGAGAUCGGAAUUCCUGGUGUAGCGGUGAAAUGCGCAGAUAUCAGGAGGAACACCGGUGGCGAAGGCGGAUCUCUGGGCCGAUACUGACGCUGAGGAGCGAAAGCGUGGGGAGCGAACAGGAUUAGAUACCCUGGUAGUCCACGCCGUAAACGGUGGGCACUAGGUGUGGGCGACAUUCCACGUCGUCCGUGCCGC